rnacentral:snRNA from 1 species
AUGAUCCAAUUAAGUUUAGCCAAA